GGUUCCGUAGCGUAAGGGUUAAUGCGCCGCGAAUGAAUGCCUCUGUCGAGACCAAGGAAUUCUGUGGAGACUCCGGGUUCGAGUCCUGGCGGGGCCG